rnacentral:rRNA from 1 species
CCUACGGGUGGCAGCAGUGGGGAAUAUUGGACAAUGGGGGAAACCCUGAUCCAGCGACGCCGCGUGCGUGAAGAAGUCUUUCUGUACGUAAAGCUCUAUCAGCAGGAAAGAAAAUUACGGUACCUGACUAAUAAUCUCCGGCCAACUUCGUUCCAGCAGCCGCGGUAACACGUAGGGGGCAAGCGUUAUCCGGAUUUACUGGGUGUAAAGGGAGCGUAGUCGGCAGCGCAGGUCUGUAGUGAAAUGCCGGGGCCCAACCCCGGAACUGCUCUGGAAACUGUGAAGCUGGAGUGCGGGAGAGGUAAGCGGAAUUCCUGGUGUAGCGGUGAAAUGCGUAGAUAUCAGGAGGAACACCGGCGGCGAAGGCAGCUUACUGGAGUGUAACUGACGUUGAAGCUCGAAGGCGUGGGGAGCGAACAGGAUUAGAUACCCCGGUAGUC